CUACGGGGCGCACCAGUGGGGAAUAUUGCACAAUGGGCGAAAGCCUGAUGCAGCAACGCCGCGUGCGGGAUGAAGGCCCUAGGGUUGUAAACCGCUUUCAGCAGGGAAGAAAAUGACGGUACCUGUAGAAGAAGGUGCGGCCAACUACGUGCCAGCAGCCGCGGUGACACGUAGGCACCAAGCGUUGUCCGGAUUUAUUGGGCGUAAAGAGCUCGUAGGCGGUUCAGUAAGUCGGGUGUGAAAACUCUGGGCUCAACCCAGAGACGCCACCCGAUACUGCUGUGACUAGAGUGCGGUAGGGGAGCGGGGAAUUCCUAGUGUAGCGGUGAAAUGCGCAGAUAUUAGGAGGAACACCAGUGGCGAAGGCGCCGCUCUGGGCCGUAACUGACGCUGAGGAGCGAAAGCGUGGGUAGCAAACAGGAUUAGAUACCCGAGUAGUC
rnacentral:rRNA from 1 species